UUGGGUUAAGUCCCGCAAACGAGCGCAACCCCUGCUGCCUGUUGCCCACCACGAGAGGUGGGACUCAGGCGGGACCGCCGGUGACAAACCGGAGGAAGGUGGGACGACGUCAAGUCAUCAUGGCCCUUAUGUCCUGGGCUACACACGUGCUACAAUGGCCGGUACAGAGCGCAGCGAGGCCGCGAGGCGGAGCGAAUCGCUUAAAGCCGGUCCCAGUACGGAUUGGAGUCUGCAACCCGACUCCAUGAAGUUGGAAUCGCUAGUAAUCGCGCAUCAGCAUGGCGCGGUGAAUACGUUCCCGGGCCUU
rnacentral:rRNA from 1 species